CCUACGGGUGGCUGCAGUGGGGAAUAUUGCACAAUGGGCGAAACCCUGAUGCAGCGACGCCGCGUGAGUGAAGAAGUCUUUCGGUAUGUAAAGCUCUAUCAGCAGGGAAGAAAAUGACGGUACCUGACUAAGAAGCCCCGGCUAACUACGUGCCAGCAGCCGCGGUAAUACGUAGGGGGCAAGCGUUAUCCGGAUUUACUGGGUGUAAAGGGAGCGUAGGUGGAAUGGUAAGCCAGAAGUGAAAACCGAGGGCUCAACUCUGUGGAUUGCUUUUGUAACUAGCAAGCUAGAGUGCUGGAGGGGUAAGCGGAAUUCCUAGUGUAGCGGUGAAAUGCGUAGAUAUUAGGAGGAACACCGGUGGCGAAGGCGGGUUACUGGACAGAAACUGACACUGAGGCUCGAAAGCGUGGGGAGCAAACAGGAUUAGAUACCCGUGUAGUC
rnacentral:rRNA from 1 species